rnacentral:rRNA from 1 species
UACUAAACCAUUAUUGACGCUGAUGGACGAAAGCGUGGGAGCGAACAGGAUUAGAUACCCUGGUAGUCCACGCCGUAAACGAUGAUUACUCGUUGUGCACAAUACACCGUGCGUGACUGAGCGAAAGCAUUAAGUAAUCCACCUGGGGAGUACGUUCGCAAGAAUGAAACUCAAAGGAAUUGACGGGGGCCCGCACAAGCGGAGGAACAUGUGGUUUAAUUCGAUGAUACGCGAGGAACCUUACCUGGACUUAAAUGUAGAUUGACCGGUUUAGAAAUAGAUCUUUCCUUCGGGACAAUUUACAAGGUGCUGCAUGGUUGUCGUCAGCUCGUGCCGUGAGGUGUCGGGUUAAGUCCCAUAACGAGCGCAACCCCUAUCGUUAGUUGCUAGCAGGUAAUGCUGAGGACUCUAGCGAGACUGCCACCGUAAGGUGAGAGGAAGGUGGGGAUGACGUCAAAUCAGCACGGCCCUUACGUCCAGGGCUACACACGUGUUACAAUGGCCAGUACAAAGGGCAGCUACCAGGUGACUGGAUGCUAAUCUCAAAAGCUGGUCUCAGUUCGGAUCGGAGUCUGCAACUCGACUCCGUGAAGUUGGAUUCGCUAGUAAUCGUAUAUCAGCAAUGAUACGGUGAAUACGUUCCCGGGCCUUGUACACACCGCCCGUCAAGCCAUGGAAGCCGAGGGUGCCUGAAGUACGUUACCGCAAGGAGCGUCCUAGGGUAAAAUUGGUAACUGGGGCUAAGUCGUAACAAGGUAACCGUA